GUGAGGAAUUUUCCGCAAUGGGCGAAAGCCUGACGGAGCAAUGCCGCGUGAAGGAUGAAGGCCUAUGGGUUGUAAACUUCUUUUCUCAGAAAAGAAUUAUGACGGUAUCUGAGGAAUAAGCAUCGGCUAACUCUGUGCCAGCAGCCGCGGUAAGACAGAGGAUGCAAGCGUUAUCCGGAAUGAUUGGGCGUAAAGCGUCUGUAGGUUGUUUAAAAAGUAUUCUGUCAAAGAUUAGGGCUUAACCCUAGAUAGGCAGAAUAAACUUUUAAGCUAGAGGUUGAGAGAGGCAGAGGGAAUUCCCGGUGGAGUGGUGAAAUGCGGCGAUGUCGGGAGGAACACCAAAGGCGAAGGCACUCUGCUGGGCCAAUACUAACACUGAGAGACGAAAGCGAGGGGAGCAAAUGGGAUUAGAAACCCGGGUAGUCC
rnacentral:rRNA from 1 species